rnacentral:misc_RNA from 1 species
AACGCAUAUUGCGCCCUCUGGUAUUCCGGGGGGCAUGCCUGUCCGAGCGUCAUUUCAACCCUCAAGCACGGCUUGUGUGUUGGGUCAUAUCGUCCCUCCGUGGACGGGCCCGAAAGGCAGUGGCGGCGUCGUGUUCCGGUGCCCGAGCGUAUGGGGAUCUUUUUCACCCGCUCGGAGGCACGGCCGGCGUCCAGCCGACAACCAUCUUAACUGGAGGACCCUCGCGGGAACUCGACUGGUUGACCUCGGAUCAGGUAGGGAUACCCGCUGAACUUAA